rnacentral:rRNA from 1 species
GAUGAACGCUGGCGGCGUGCCUAAUACAUGCAAGUCGAGCGAACAGACGAGGAGCUUGCUCCUCUGACGUUAGCGGCGGACGGGUGAGUAACACGUGGAUAACCUACCUAUAAGACUGGGAUAACUUCGGGAAACCGGAGCUAAUACCGGAUAAUAUAUUGAACCGCAUGGUUCAAUAGUUAAAGACGGUUUUGCUGUCACUUAUAGAUGGAUCCGCUCCGCAUUAGCUAGUUGGGAAGGUAACGGCUUACCACGGCAACGAUGCGUAGCCGACCUCAGAGAGUGAUCGGCCACACUGGAACUGAGACACGGUCCAGACUCCUACGGGAGGCAGCAGUAGGGAAUCUUCCGCAAUGGGCGAAAGCCUGACGGAGCAACGCCGCGUGAGUGAUGAAGGUCUUCGGAUCGUAAAACUCUGUUAUUAGGGAAGAACAAAUGUGUAAGUAACUAUGCACGUCUUGACGGUACCUAAUCAGAAAGCCACGGCUAACUACGUG